GAGAGAGAGAGAGAGAGAGAGAGAGAGAGAGAGAGAGUUAUGCCUGAAGACUUAUAAUAGACCCUACUUUUAAAAGCCAAUCAGAUUCUUCAAAAGGCUGUGUCAUGGUCAGCUCCAUCUCUUCACAAAGAUAAACUAGAAAUGUUUAAGGUCAAAUGUCAGAGGAUCCUUUGAAGAAUACGGGGCCAGGGCUCUCAUUGUGGGGACAUUCACAGCUUCCUGUCUCUCAGAGUACUUCAGAAGUGACCCCAGGGCAGCUCAAACAGGACCGAGUCGUAUCUGAAUGAACGGAGGACACCGGACAUCUCAAACUCAACUCGCCAUUAAAUCACGUUUUUCAAAUCAACAACAUUAUCUGCUUAUUUUUCAUUCUAGGCCAGCCAAUGACUGCGCAUUAACGGGUCCAGCCUAAGGUUUCCAUGGGAACCGGAGCCUCUAACAGGUUUACCAACCAACGAUUGGCUCUUUCCUCAGAAGGCGGGACUUCCUGCCACUUUCUCUAGAGGUUAGGAGAGUAUGACAUAUCGCUUGUGUUUCUAGUCUGGAUCUGAAUGAAGCGAGACUCUCGUAUCUGGAGCUCGUCCGGACCAGUGUCCCUCAACACUCACUCAGGAUCACUUCAUCCUGGUGGAAACCACAAGACGUCUCAGGCUUAAUUUAGAUUCCUGUCCUAAAUCACAAACACAGAUGACAGCAGGAGGAAGGGCCUCAGUCCAGAUCGACAACACAGGAAGUGCAUGCUCAAUCAGGCAGAGACUUCCUGCAGAGAGGACUAAACAGCACUAACAGAGAACAGAUCCACUCUCUAAUCUCAUCAGAGGAAAACUCUGUGAAGAUGACAGGAGACGAGCGAGGAGAACCCUGAGAACAUGAGAAGAACCUGCCUGCCAGAAGAAGACGCAGCGGCCAGUGACUUCAACACAGCUCGGACAUCAUUACACUGCUCUUUACUCACAUUCAUCAAAAAUCAUUUUAAAAUGAAGGAAAAUAAAAUAUGUUUUACGUUUUGUGCACCUGCAUGUCGUGAUCAUUAACCAGUGUCAGAAAAUGAUGACCAGGCAGAUGUGAUCAGUAAAAGAUGAAGAGAGGAAUUAGGAAGUGUGAAAAGGUGUAAUAUGUCAUUUAUUUGAAUUAGUGCUUAAUUUAAUGAAUCUGAUUAGUUAAUCCUGAUUCUAUUUAAUCACCCAUCUCUGUGUAUCAAUCUCCAUGUAAACAUGUGUGUCUCACGCUCCCUCUGUAUACUGCAGUCCCGCCCUUAAAGUCACACACAGAACCAUCAUAAGCCUCGUAUAAAACACACAGAGAGUCGUUUAUGCGCAGAGAGCUGAAGCCUGCAAUAAUCACC